AAAGGCCAGUGAAAGGCAACACGGAAAACUGCUAUAUCUUACAUGACCAAAAAACUUUACUUUUAAGUGAAAAGGCUCAAAUAACAAAAAAAGACGAAAAGACCCCGCGGAGCUUUACUUUAAAACUUAAACAUUUAAACAAGUUACCGUUCAAAGUUUGGUUGGGGCAACCCUGGAACAAUGUAAUCUUCCAGUUUUCUAAGUAACUUAUAUAAAACCUGUUAUGGACCGAAAAGAAGCUACCCCGGGGAUAACAGCGUAAUCCAACUUGAAAGUACACAUCGAAAGUUGGGUUUGCGACCUCGAUGUUGGCUUAG
rnacentral:rRNA from 1 species